rnacentral:lncRNA from 1 species
CUAUUCUGAGGUGUUCUGCUUGAUCUUCCUUGCUCUUAGAGUAUACCAAAAUAUCGUCCAUAAACACAAUAAUAAAGGUAUCCAGGAAUGGCUUGAAAACUCUGUUCAUGAGGUCCAUGAAUGCAACUGGAGCAUUUGUCAACCCGAAGGACAUCAUUAGAAAUUCAUAGUGCCCGUAGCGAGUUCUAAAUGUUGUUUUAGAUAUAUCCUUUGUUCUGAUUCUCAACUGAUGGUAUCCCGACUUCAAGUCUAUUUUUGAAAAGUACUUUGCACCCUGAAGUUGAUCAAAUAAAUCAUCAAUUCUUGACAGUGGGUACUUGUUCUUAAUGGUAACUUUAUUCAACUGCCGAUAGUCGACACACAUUCUGGGAGACCCAUCUUUCUUUUUGACAAACAGGACGGGGGCACCCCAUGGUGUGACAUACUUGUUCUUAAUGGUAACUUUAUUCAAUUGCUGAUAGUCGACACACAUUCUGAGAGACCCAUCCUUCUUGAGAAACAGGAUCGGGGCACCCCACGGUGAAACACUCGGCCUGAUGAAGCCCUUGUUAAGAAGGUCUUUCAGCUGUUCAGUCAACUCAUUAAGUUCUGCUGGAGCCAUCCUAUAAGGAGGUAUAUAUAUGGGCUGAGUGCCUGGCAUGAGAUCAAUACCAUAGUCUAUGAUUCUUUCGGGAGGAAUUCCGGGAAGGUCAUCCGGGAAAACUUUUGGAAAUUCUCUAACAACUGGCACUGACUAAAGAGCUGGUGGUUCUGAUUCUGGAUUAAUGAUGUGAGCCAAAUAGGCGAGAUACCCCUUACCGAUCAUCCGAUGUGCCUUAAGGUAAGAAAUAAACUUACCUACAAGAGAUG